rnacentral:rRNA from 1 species
GAUGAACGCUGGCGGCGUGCUUAACACAUGCAAGUCGAACGGUGAACACGGAGCUUGCUCUGUGGGAUCAGUGGCGAACGGGUGAGUAACACGUGAGCAACCUGCCCCUGACUCUGGGAUAAGCGCUGGAAACGGCGUCUAAUACUGGAUAUGUGACGUGACCGCAUGGUGUGCGUUUGGAAAGAUUGUUCGGUUGGGGAUGGGCUCGCGGCCUAUCAGCUUGUUGGUGAGGUAAUGGCUCACCAAGGCGUCGACGGGUAGCCGGCCUGAGAGGGUGACCGGCCACACUGGGACUGAGACACGGCCCAGACUCCUACGGGAGGCAGCAGUGGGGAAUAUUGCACAAUGGGCGCAAGCCUGAUGCAGCAACGCCGCGUGAGGGAUGACGGCCUUCGGGUUGUAAACCUCUUUUAGCAGGGAAGAAGCGAAAGUGACGGUACCUGCAGAAAAAGCGCCGGCUAACUACGUG